rnacentral:rRNA from 1 species
GGUUAAGCGACUAAGCGUACACGGUGGAUGCCCUGGCAGUCAGAGGCGAUGAAGGACGUGCUAAUCUGCGAAAAGCGCCGGCGAGGUGAUAUGAACCUUUGACCCGGCGAUGUCCGAAUGGGGAAACCCAGUGCAAUCCGUUGCACUAUCGUUAACUGAAUACAUAGGUUAACGAGGCGAACCGGGGGAACUGAAACAUCUAAGUACCCCGAGGAAAAGAAAUCAACCGAGAUUCCCCCAGUAGCGGCGAGCGAACGGGGAGCAGCCCGGAGUCUGAAUCAGCUUGUGUGUUAGUGGAACGGUCUGGAAAGUCCGACGGUACAGGGUGAUAGUCCCGUACACGAAAGCACACUUGCUGUGAACUCGAAGAGUAGGGCGGGACACGUGGUAUCCUGUCUGAAUAUGGGGGGACCAUCCUCCAAGGCUAAAUACUCCUGACUGACCGAUAGUGAACCAGUACCGUGAGGGAAAGGCGAAAAGAACCCCGGCGAGGGGAGUGAAAAAGAACCUGAAACCGUGUACGUACAAGCAGUGGGAGCCUCUUUAUGGGGUGACUGCGUACCUUUUGUAUAAUGGGUCAGCGACUUAUAUUCUGUAGCAAGGUUAACCGUAUAGGGGAGCCGAAGGGAAACCGAGUCUUAACUGGGCGUUAAGUUGCAGGGUAUAGACCCGAAACCCGGUGAUCUAGCCAUGGGCAGGUUGAAGGUUGGGUAACACUAACUGGAGGACCGAACCGACUAAUGUUGAAAAAUUAGCGGAUGACCUGUGGCUGGGGGUGAAAGGCCAAUCAAACCGGGAGAUAGCUGGUUCUCCCCGAAAGCUAUUUAGGUAGCGCCUCGUGAACUCAUCUUCGGGGGUAGAGCACUGUUUCGGCUAGGGGGCCAUCCCGGCUUACCAACCCGAUGCAAACUACGAAUACCGAAGAAUGUUAUCACGGGAGACACACGGCGGGUGCUAACGUCCGUCGUGAAGAGGGAAACAACCCAGACCGCCAGCUAAGGUCCCAAAGUCAUGGUUAAGUGGGAAACGAUGUGGGAAGGCACAGACAGCCAGGAUGUUGGCUUAGAAGCAGCCAUCAUUUAAAGAAAGCGUAAUAGCUCACUGGUCGAGUCGGCCUGCGCGGAAGAUGUAACGGGGCUAAACCAUGCACCGAAGCUGCGGCAGCGACACUAUGUGUUGUUGGGUAGGGGAGCGUUCUGUAAGCCGUUGAAGGUGUGCUGUGAGGCAUGCUGGAGGUAUCAGAAGUGCGAAUGCUGACAUAAGUAACGAUAAAGCGGGUGAAAAGCCCGCUCGCCGGAAGACCAAGGGUUCCUGUCCAACGUUAAUCGGGGCAGGGUGAGUCGACCCCUAAGGCGAGGCCGAAAGGCGUAGUCGAUGGGAAACAGGUUAAUAUUCCUGUACUUGGUGUUACUGCGAAGGGGGGACGGAGAAGGCUAUGUCAGCCGGGCGACGGUUGUCCCGGUUUAAGCAUGUAGGCGGAGGUUCCAGGUAAAUCCGGUACCUUGUUAACGCUGAGGUGUGAUGACGAGGCACUACGGUGCUGAAGUGAUAAAUGCCCUGCUUCCAGGAAAAGCCUCUAAGCAUCAGGUAACACGAAAUCGUACCCCAAACCGACACAGGUGGUCAGGUAGAGAAUACCAAGGCGCUUGAGAGAACUCGGGUGAAGGAACUAGGCAAAAUGGUGCCGUAACUUCGGGAGAAGGCACGCUGAUAUGUAGGUGAAGUCCCUGCGGACGGAGCUGAAAUCAGUCGAAGAUACCAGCUGGCUGCAACUGUUUAUUAAAAACACAGCACUGUGCAAACAAAAAGUGGACGUAUACGGUGUGACGCCUGCCCGGUGCCGGAAGGUUAAUUGAUGGGGUUAGCGGCAACGCGAAGCUCUUGAUCGAAGCCCCGGUAAACGGCGGCCGUAACUAUAACGGUCCUAAGGUAGCGAAAUUCCUUGUCGGGUAAGUUCCGACCUGCACGAAUGGCGUAAUGAUGGCCAGGCUGUCUCCACCCGAGACUCAGUGAAAUUGAACUCGCUGUGAAGAUGCAGUGUACCCGCGGCAAGACGGAAAGACCCCGUGAACCUUUACUAUAGCUUGACACUGAACACUGGUCCUUGAUGUGUAGGAUAGGUGGGAGGCUUUGAAGCGUGGACGCCAGUCUGCGUGGAGCCAACCUUGAAAUACCACCCUUUAAUGGCUGGUGUUCUAACGUAGACCCGUAAUCCGGGUUGCGGACAGUGUCUGGUGGGUAGUUUGACUGGGGCGGUCUCCUCCCAAAGAGUAACGGAGGAGCACGAAGGUUGGCUAAUCCUGGUCGGACAUCAGGAGGUUAGUGCAAUGGCAUAAGCCAGCUUGACUGCGAGCGUGACGGCGCGAGCAGGUGCGAAAGCAGGUCAUAGUGAUCCGGUGGUUCUGAAUGGAAGGGCCAUCGCUCAACGGAUAAAAGGUACUCCGGGGAUAACAGGCUGAUACCGCCCAAGAGUUCAUAUCGACGGCGGUGUUUGGCACCUCGAUGUCGGCUCAUCACAUCCUGGGGCUGAAGUAGGUCCCAAGGGUAUGGCUGUUCGCCAUUUAAAGUGGUACGCGAGCUGGGUUUAGAACGUCGUGAGACAGUUCGGUCCCUAUCUGCCGUGGGCGCUGGAGAAUUGAGGGGGGCUGCUCCUAGUACGAGAGGACCGGAGUGGACGCAUCACUGGUGUUCGGGUUGUCAUGCCAAUGGCACUGCCCGGUAGCUAAAUGCGGAAGAGAUAAGUGCUGAAAGCAUCUAAGCACGAAACUUGCCCCGAGAUGAGUUCUCCCUGAGACUUUAAGUCUCCUGAAGGAACGUUGAAGACGACGACGUUGAUAGGUCGGGUGUGUAAGCGCAGCGAUGCGUUGAGCUAACCGAUACUAAUGAACCGUGAGGCUUAACCUU